UAAUAACUGUAAAAGGGGAAAUCUGGAUUCAUUUUUAGCUUCAAUGGGGAUAACUGUGGUAUUUUCCCAUAAAAAAAUUGUUCAUUAAAAAUGGUCAUCCUUAAAAAAAAAGAAGUUCUAAAUAAAUAGAGAUAUAGUAUGUUCAUGGAAGACCUAACAUACUAAAGAUGCCAGUUUUCUUCAAAUUGACAUACAUUUUUAAUGCAAUUCAAAAUGCCAGCAUGAUAUUUUGAAGCUGUAGAAAAGAUUAUUCCAAAAUUUUAUGGAAAGCAAAAGUGACCAAUAUAGCUUAUAGUCUUUGAAAAUAAGAAUAAUAGUGGGGGAGGGGAAUCAGUCUACCCAGUCCCAAGACUUAUAUAGUUACAACAAUCAAGACUGUGUGCUAUUAGCAGUGGAAUAAACACAUCAAUACACAGAGUAAAAUUUAGACCCAGGAAUAGACUCAUAUAGAUAUUUCCAAGUAAUUUUGACAAGGAUGCAAAAGCAAAUGGUGCCAGAGAAAAUAGAUAUUGAGGCUUAAAAAAAUAAACCUCACCCUAGAUCUCACAUUUUUUACAAGUAUUAGCUCAAGAAGACUUAAAUGUAAAAUAUAAGCCUCCAAUAAUCUUGAAAACAAUAUAGGAGAAAAUCUCUGGGAAAUAGAUCUAGGCAAAAAGUUCUUAGGGUUGACAUCAAAAGCAUGGUCCUUAAAAAAGCUAAAUUGGAUAAAUUGAACUUCAUCAAAACAAAAACUUGUGCUCUAUGAAAGAUUCUGUAAAAGGAGGCUAAAAGGUAAGCUAAAACUGGUUGGACAUAAUUUAAAAGCACAUUUCUGACAAAGAACUAGUAUAUAGAAUAUACUCUAAAAAUCUCAAAACUCAAUAACAAACAAAACCCAAAUAAUUCAAUCAGAAAAAGAGCAAAAGACGGAGUGUCCAUCAGGCUCAGUGGAAACAAAUCUGUCUAACAUUUGUGAGGACACAGGUCGAUCCUUGGCUUUGCUCAGUGGGUCAAGGAUCUGGUAUUGCUGUGAGCUGUGGUGUAAGUCACAGACACAGCUUGGAUCCCCCGUUGCUGUCCCUGUGGUGUAGGCCACCAGCUACAGCUCCGAUUUGACCCCUUGCCUGGGACCCUCCAUAUGCUGUGGGUGCAGCCCUAAACAGACAAAACAAAGACAAAAAAGGGAAAUGUGAAUUAAAACUACAAUGAGAUAUCACUACCUACCUCCCACAGUGACUAAAAUAAAAAUAGUGACAUAGAUACUCAUGUUGCAACAGAAGAAAGGGUGGGGGAAAAACUGUAAUUGUAAUGUAUACAUGUAAGGAUAACCUGACCCCCUUGCUGUACAGUG
rnacentral:lncRNA from 1 species